rnacentral:piRNA from 1 species
UGGAACUGACAGUGUCACUGAUAGAGGUC